rnacentral:rRNA from 1 species
AGAACGAACGCUGGCGGCAUGCCUAAUACAUGCAAGUCGAAUGAACUCUUCGGAGUUAGUGGCGCACGGGUGCGUAACGCGUGGGAAUCUGCCCCUUGGUUCGGAAUAACAGUUGGAAACGACUGCUAAUACCGGAUGAUGACGAAAGUCCAAAGAUUUAUCGCCAAGGGAUGAGCCCGCGUAGGAUUAGCUAGUUGGUCGAGGUAAAGGCUCACCAAGGCAAC